rnacentral:rRNA from 1 species
AGAGUUUGAUCAUGGCUCAGAACGAACGCUGGCGGCAGGCCUAACACAUGCAAGUCGAACGAAACCUUCGGGUUUAGUGGCGCACGGGUGAGUAACGCGUGGAUAUCUACCUCGGGAUGGGGAAUAACUAUUGGAAACGAUAGCUAAUACCGCAUACGCCGGAAACGGGAAAGCUUUAUGCGUCCUGAGAUGAGUCCGCGUUAGAUUAGAUAGUUGGUAGGGUAAUGGCCUACCAAGUCUACGAUCUAUAGCUGGUCUGAGAGGAUGAUCAGCCACACUGGGACUGAGACACGGCCCAGACUCCUACGGGAGGCAGCAGUGGGGAAUAUUGGACAAUGGGCGCAAGCCUGAUCCAGCCAUGCCGCGUGAGUGAAGAAGGCCUUAGGGUUGUAAAGCUCUUUCGACGGGGAAGAUGAUGACGGUACCCGUAGAAGAAGCCCCGGCCAACUCCGUGCCAGCAGCCGCGGUAAUACGGAGGGGGCAAGCGUUGUUCGGAAUUACUGGGCGUAAAGGGCGCGUAGGCGGAAUAUCAAGUUAGAGGUGAAAGGCCUGGGCUCAACCUGGGAACUGCCUUUAAAACUGAUAAUCUAGAGUUCGGGAGAGGAUAGCGG